AACCUCCGCAAUGUGAGAAAUCGCGACGGGGGGAUCCCAAGUGCCAUUCUUAACGGGAUGGCUUUUCAUUAGUGUAAAGAGCUUUUGGAAUAAGAGCUGGGCAAGACCGGUGCCAGCCGCCGCGGUAACACCGGCAGCUCUAGUGGUAGCAAUUUUUAUUGGGCCUAAAGCGUCCGUAGCCGGUUUAAUAAGUCUCUGGUGAAAUCCUGCAGCUUAACUGUGGGAAUUGCUGGAGAUACUAUUAGACUUGAGAUCGGGAGAGGUUAGAGGUACUCCCAGGGUAGAGGUGAAAUUCUGUAAUCCUGGGAGGACCGCCUGUUGCGAAGGCGUCUAACUGGAACGAUUCUGACGGUGAGGGACGAAAGUUAGGGGCGCGAACCGGAUUAGAUACCCGGGUAGUCUAACUGUAAACGAUGCGGACUUGGUGUUGGGGUGGCUUUGAGCUGCUCCAGUGCCGAAGGGAAGCUGUUAAGUCCGCCGCCUGGGAAGUACGGUCGCAAGACUGAAACUUAAAGGAAGU
rnacentral:rRNA from 1 species